CGUGGAGACAGGUGGUGCAUGGUUGUCGUCAGCUCGUGUCGUGAGAUGUUGGGUUAAGUCCCGCAACGAGCGCAACCCUUGUCCUUAGUUACCAGCAGUAAGAUGGGGACUCUAGGGAGACUGCCAGUGACAAACUGGAGGAAGGUGGGGAUGACGUCAAAUCAUCAUGCCCUUUAUGCCUUGGGCUACACACGUACUACAAUGGGCUGUACAGAGGGCGGCAAGACUGUGAAGUCGAGCGAAUCCCAUAAAGCAGUCCUCAGUUCGGAUUGCAGGCUGCAACCCGCCUGCAUGAAGCUGGAAUCGCUAGUAAUCGCAGGUCAGCAUACUGCGGUGAAUACGUUCCCGGGCCUUGUACACACCGCCCGUCACACCGCGAAAGUCUGCUGUACUCGAAGUCGCUGAG
rnacentral:rRNA from 1 species